rnacentral:lncRNA from 1 species
GCUCACUACACCAUACUUGAUUUGCGGCUCAUCACACCAUAGCAAAUUUGUGACUCGCCACACCAUAGCACGAUCUAUGACCACGACCGUACUUUGCCACAGUGGUCCUAAGAUUUUCUACGCACUUUCACACUGUCAUCCAUAGGGAGUGAUUAUCUCAUGUCUUUCCAGAAAGGGUGGGAACAACAGAAGUAGAUAAAAUAAUCUAAUGCAUUAAUUUAUGUUUCAUAUAUCUAUUCAUGUUUUCAUGUUAUAUCAACAAUUUCAUAUAAUCCCUUCUUGUUUCAAUUCCAUUUCAAUUUUGUUCAUGAAACAACAAUGUAAGCCUUUGCACAAUGCAUAUAUAAUCAAU